rnacentral:tRNA from 1 species
GGCGUGGCUCAACUGAUUAGAGCAUCCCGAUCUAUGAUCGGGAAGGUUUCAGGUUUGAAUCCUGACGCGGUCA